rnacentral:hammerhead_ribozyme from 1 species
GCAUUGCUGAGGAGUCUCACAAUAGGACGAAACGUUUGUCCAUUAC